GUAAAAGAGACCUCUUUCAGGAUCUUGUUCGCAGCCACCCGCCCCUUCCCAACCCAAGCACAUCCCCUCCGCCUCCUGGUAUUGCAGCCCCGCAGGUGGUUGUGAGGUGUCCGCACCUGCAACAUCUUAGUGACCCUGAGGCGGCUGUGGCACCGGGAGACAAUCUGUUUACCUCGUAGCCUCCACGAGGGUGCUAACGGUCGUUCCCAGGGUGAAUGGCUGGACGGAGCCAUCCAAAGGGCUGAGGGAGAGGAACAGAGGGCGGUGAGGAGCCUUCGGACUGAACUAUUGGAUUGAAGGGCCUGACCCGAUUCCUGAGGGAGAGAUGCCCCUUGAAUGGGUCUUUCUGAUUGCCCAGGGUAGCCCCACUGGGAAGAACCCACGGGUGCAGCUGUAGAGAGUGUCUGAGGGUCUCGAGGGUAGCUUUCAGAUGGCAAAUUGCAAGUUGGGCUGUGUUGAGUGGUUCACAAAACCGAGCCCGGUGUAUGUAGACAUCAGUCAGGGUUUACAAUUCUAUAUUUAAUUCAGUUGUGUUGUACUAGGAAAUGAGCCUCCUUUUGUUUAAAAAGCUGUCUCCAUGGUUUUUAACUAGGGGCUACAUCUUGUAUGCACACUGAUGGUUACAUGAAAGUUUUGUAUAGAUGUCUGUGCUUGUAUAGAAAAGCAGAAUUAAGAUAAAGUUGUUCCUUCUGCCUACCUGCAAGAUAAUCAUUCAUUGUAGUGUAAAAGCAGCACACUCAGGUUAUAACUAGAUUGUUCCCUUAAAGUUAACUAACUCUGGGACACUGGCCAGACUCUUGGUUUCUGGUCUUGGUUUACUUCUUUCUCCCAAGUGGGAUGAUUCUAUUGAAUAAUAUGCAGUACUAACUUUAGAAGCUUUUUAUACUUACCUAUAUCAAGAAAAGAGCCAUAUCUGUGUGGUAGGAAAUGUUAUACAUAAAACAAAUAUUUAUUGACCACUCCCACAGUGCCCAAUAUUAUGCUUUGAUUCAUAUUAAAUUUCCAUAAUUCUUCAAAUUAACUGCAUUUGCAGAAUAUUUUAUGCACUCAGUAUAAUAUUGCAUAUUAUCCACAGAAGGUUAUGUCUGCAUACUUAGGGGUACAUGAUACACAGUGCAAACACUGUAUUGAGUCUGUAAUGUGAGUCUUGCUAUCUGGUCCCCUGAACACUCUGAGUCUGAUUUUAUUUCAGUGAUAACCUCCAGCAAGCUCUGUGCUCAUAAGGAUCUCUGAAAGUAGACGUUUCAUCAGCGGAAAGUGUGAUAGCCAUUAUGUCACCCUAACCUCCAGCGAGCUUUAUUUAGAAUGCCAGCCACACAAGCCCAUGUUCUGAUUCUCAUAGUUGGGGCUUAGGCUGCCAGUUUCUUCUAUGAAGCUAAACUCUAGAGCCUCCCUUCUUUCCAUGCCCGAGUCCAUCUCCAAAACAGUGCUUCUCAGAUUCCUCUUUUCUGGCCUGGAUCCACAGGUAGUGACCAGAGUUAACAGAGUUCUUGGGCCAGGCACAGUGUCUCAAACUGGUAAUCCCAAUACUUUGGGAGACUGAGGAUGGAGGAUCACUUGGGCCCAGGAGAUCCAGACCAGCCUAGGCAACAUAGUGAGACCCAGUCUCUACAAAAAAUAAAAAAAUAAAUAAUUAGCUGGGUGUGGGUGUGGUGGCAUGUGCCUGUAGUCCUAGUGACUAGGGCUUGGGGGUUGAGGUAGGAAGAUCACUUGAGCCAGGGAGGUUGAGGAUGCUGUGAUUGUGCCAUUGAACUCCAGCCUGGGCAACAAAGUGAGACCCUAUCUCAAAAAAACAAAACAAAACAAAACAAAACAAAAAAAGGAUUUCUUUUUCUUUAACACCUUUUUUUUUUUUUUUUUUUUUUUUGAGGCAGAGUUUCACUCUUGUUGCCCAAGCUGGAGUGCAAUGGCAUGAUCUUGGCUCACUGCAGCCUCAGCCUUCUGGGUUCAAGAGAUUCUCCUGCUUCAGCCUCCCAGGCAGCUGGGAUUACAGGUGCACGCCACCACGCCUG
rnacentral:lncRNA from 1 species